rnacentral:antisense_RNA from 1 species
AGGUGACGGGGGCAACCCCGCGUGGUCACACGAAUGACUUGAGCUCACUCUUCCUCCACUGCAUGCCUUACAGGAGGCAGUGCAGAAGGCCGUGGUCUGGCGCGGGUUUUCACAGGAUCCUCUUGGAUGCUGGAGGAGGGUGCAUGGAAGGGUCCGGGCAGGGAGGCCAGUGAGCAGCAGCUGCAGUCAGCUUUGCAAAGCAUGAUGGGACUUGGACCACGGUCAGGUGGACCCAUGAGUUGGGGUCCUUCAGAGAAGGAGACCAAUAGUGAGGAGUUGGCUCACAUGAGGACAGAGGCUGAGAAGUCCUGCCAGCUACCGCCUGCAAGCCGGAGCCCCGGGAAAGCUGGUGGUGUGGCUCCAGUGCAAGCCUGAGGGCCCAACACCCAGGGAGCUGAUGGUGGGGACUGAGUCCCAGGGCAGGGGAAGACCAGUGUCCCAGCCGGGGAGCUGAUGGUGGGGACCCAGUCCCAGGGCACGAGAAGGCCAGUGUCCCAGCCCAAGCAGGCAGGCGGGAGGAAAGAGGCAAGUUCCUCCUUCCUCUGCCUUUUUGUUCUCUUCAGCCCUUCAAGGGGUUGCAUGAUCCCAUGCACACAGGGAGGCAUUUGCUCGCCACAGUCCACCACUGGAAAUGCCGGUCUCAGCCAGAGACACCUCACAGACUCCCCCAGAAACAGCGUGUCCCCAGCUAUUGGGCAUCCCGAGCUGGCCAGGUGGACACACAGACCUCACCUGUGCAGUCAUGCUCGUUGGUCCUGGACAGCCUUGGUGGGGACGUUUCCAGAAGUGGCGCCUGCUCUGUGCCCCCCACAUCAGCCCCAGGGUCUCCUGGUAUCCUAAACCUGCAUCCCUGCUCCUGGCCUGGCUGCUGGGAAUGCAGCCAAUGUCGGUUCCUCAGAAUCAAGAUAAAAAUGAAGGGAACCCUCUGCCUCUGCCAGGCAGGCCUCGGGCCAGGCUGGGGACCCUGGGUGGGGUCGAGGCUGGGGACCCUGGGUGGGGUCGAAUGCCUCCCCAGCUCAGGCCUUGGGUCUUUGGGGAACGUGGUGACUGAGUUCACAUAUGCACGAGCGACGUUUCCAACUGUCUAGAAACUUCAGACAGAGUGUGAGAUUCUGCCUGCAUGUCACAGGGAAGGAGGCUGGAGAUGGAGGAGAUUCUGGAGGUGCCAAGCCCCAGGGCUCCCAAGAGCUGAGUGGGUCCAGCCUCUGCCUCCACUCUCUACCCAGACUGCACUUUCUUCUGGUACCUUCCAGGGUGCACACAGGCUCAUUCUUGUAUGCAGAGCUCCCUCUUUAAUUCCCAAAAAGAUCACACCAAGGAGAGUUUCAAAUUAGGGCAUCAGAGCCAAAUUGAAGAUUGGAGGAGCUGAGUCCGGAAGAAGGGCCAAGACUGCGGAGUGAGGAGCUGGUUGCUGGUUCCCAGGUCCCUGGCCAGCUCACCGUCUCCAGCAAGAAAGGGACAAGCGAAGCCACAUGAGGAGAAGGGUCUGGCCUAUCUUUGAAGAGUGAUCACCUUCCCACGAGAUUGGAAUACUGGGAAGGAAAGUCCGAGCGCCCUGGAAAAGUCUAAAGGGUGUUCCCAAAGGUAGAAGAAGGUGUCCAGGCAGUGUGUCCUGCCACGGCCAGCAGCUCCCAGCAUGUGCUCUAGCCGUCCUGGCCUGGCGGGUCAGAGCCGUGGUCAGUGGCAGCUACUGAACCAGUGCCCGUGGGCAUCAUCUGCCUGUUCUCUCUUGGGUCUAACCAGCAUUUCUCGUGACUAUUCUGAAAAGACUCCAAUCGCUUCCUCCACCACCUCUUCCGAGCUGGGGGUGGUGCAGGGGGUUGGGGAAAAAUCAAUUCAUCAAACAAGCAAAAUGUAUUCAGCGCCUGCUUGCUGUAGACCAGGCACUGGGCAGGGCUUGUGAAACGGAAUGGAAGCCCUCUGGACCCUGGAAACCUUAUGGGAGAGAGUUAAAAUAAAUCAGACCGGCAGAGGUAAGGCACUUUACCUUCCGAAAGGUGCGCCAUUGAACACCAAGAGGAAUCAGCCUGUCUUGUACGUGUAUAGUGAACCUGCCACGACGAGCCCUUCAGGAUAACCACUGGGUAGGAUGCACCAAGAAUCAGAGAAACUGGGUGCCCUUUGACCUGAAGAGGCUGGCAUUCUCUGGGGGAGACUGACAAGAUGGGAUCAAUAAAUAGACAGGCAGAUGGUCUGCCCUUGACUUUCAUGCGAAAGGAGAAGACACUGGCACAAAGAUCUCACUUCCGUGUCUGUCGCAGUAGUAUUUGAUUUAUAUACCCUCCACCUGUUUCUUUUUAUGGUCUUGGUAAUUGCAAAAUUAUUACUAGUUGUAAAUAUUUCAAACAAUGUGGUAGGAAAGGCAAAGUCCCUCUUCUAGUAGAGAAAAUGGAGGCCAGGUGCGGUGGCUCAUGCCUGUAAUCCCAGCACUUUGGGAGGCCGAGGAAGGAGGAUCACAAGGUCAAGAGAUUGAGACCAUCCUGGCCAACAUGGUGAAACUACAUCUCUACUAAAAAUACAAAAAUUAGCUGGGCGUGGUGGCGCAUCCCUGUAGUCCCAGCUACUCGGGAGGCUGAGGUAGGAGAAUCACUUGAACCUGGGAGGUGGAGGUUGCAGUGAGCCGAGGUCGUGCCAUUGCACUCCAGCCUGGGCGACAAGAGUGAAACUCCAUCUCAAAAAAAAAGAAAAAGAAAAAGAAAA